CUAUGCGCCUUGCCAGCCCGCUCAGGUGUGCCAGCCGCCGCGGUAAUACGGAGGAUGCGAGCGUUAUCCGGAUUUAUUGGGUUUAAAGGGUGCGUAGGCGGGCUGUUAAGUCAGCGGUCAAAUGUCGGGGCUCAACCCCGGCCUGCCGUUGAAACUGGCGGCCUCGAGUGGGCGAGAAGUAUGCGGAAUGCGUGGUGUAGCGGUGAAAUGCAUAGAUAUCACGCAGAACUCCGAUUGCGAAGGCAGCAUACCGGUGCACAACUGACGCUCAGGCACGAAAGCGUGGGUAUCGAACAGG
rnacentral:rRNA from 1 species